UCUUUGGAGAGUUUGAUCCUGGCUCAGGACGAACGCUGGCGGCGUGCUUAACACAUGCAAGUCGAACGGGGUUCACCGCUUCGGUGGUGGGCUUGAGUGGCGAACGGGUGAGUAACACGUGG
rnacentral:rRNA from 1 species